rnacentral:rRNA from 1 species
AUGGGGUGCAAAUCGUGCCAGAAGCCCAAGGCGCAGCACCGGAAGGGUCUGUGGUCGCCGGAGGAGGACCAGAAGCUCCGCGACUACAUCGUCCGCUACGGCCACAGCUGCUGGAGCACCGUCCCAGUCAAGGCCGGACUUCAGAGGAACGGAAAGAGCUGCAGGCUGCGAUGGAUCAACUACCUAAGGCCGGGGCUGAAGCACGGCAUGUUCUCCCAGGCGGAAGAAGAGACCGUCAUGAGCCUCCAUGCCACACUCGGCAACAAGUGGUCUCGCAUAGCGCAGCACCUGCCGGGCCGGACGGAUAACGAGGUGAAGAACUACUGGAACUCGUACCUGAAGAAGCGCGUCGAGGGCGCGCGGGCACCAGCCAAGUCCGCCGGCUCCGACGCGCCCCGGAGCCCGACGCCCAGCGACAGCGGCCGCGAACGCAGCACCGUUAACCAGCUGUCCAACUCCGGCUCGUCGGGCCCGCCUGAGUCGUCGUCGACGGCCGACGACUCGAGCAGCCUCACCGGGCCCGGCGCGGCCGCCUUGAUCCGGCCGCACGCCCCCGUGCUCCCCAAGGUCAUGUUCGCGGACUGGCUCGACAUGGACAUGGAAUACGGCACCAGCCUGCUGCGGCCGAGCGCCCUGGACACGGCCUUCGACUGCAGCCAGGCGCAGCAGGGCGCGAGCAACACGGUAGACGGUCGUUGCGGCACCGUGGACUCGUUGCACGGGCUCAGCGAUGGCGGCAUCUGUUGGGAGUUCGAGGCGGACACGCAGGGCGGAGCAGGGUUCUGCGACCUGCUCUCCAUGAGCGAGUUCCUCGGGAUCAACUAG